CGUACACUCCUACGGGAGGCAGCAGUGGGGAAUAUUGGACAAUGGGCGCAAGCCUGAUCCAGCCAUGCCGCGUGAGUGAUGAAGGCCCUAGGGUUGUAAAGCUCUUUCACCGGUGAAGAUAAUGACGGUAACCGGAGAAGAAGCCCCGGCUAACUUCGUGCCAGCAGCCGCGGUAAUACGAAGGGGGCUAGCGUUGUUCGGAUUUACUGGGCGUAAAGCGCACGUAGGCGGACUAUUAAGUCAGGGGUGAAAUCCCGGGGCUCAACCCCGGAACUGCCUUUGAUACUGGUAGUCUUGAGUUCGAGAGAGGUGAGUGGAAUUCCGAGUGUAGAGGUGAAAUUCGUAGAUAUUCGGAGGAACACCAGUGGCGAAGGCGGCUCACUGGCUCGAUACUGACGCUGAGGUGCGAAAGCGUGGGGAGCAAACAGGAUUAGAUACCCUAGUAGUCCCAU
rnacentral:rRNA from 1 species